UCAGAAGGUCUUCCGGCUGCACCCAGGCUCCUGUCCCAAGCACACUCUUCCUGGAAGCAGCCCCCACAGACUCCCAGGACCCAGAGAUCGGGACUCCCAUGGUGUCAGUAUCAGAGACUAUGGCAUGGAAAUGCAGGGCCCCUACUCCCGACUUUGGGUACAGUCAUGGGAGAGAUGCUGCCUCUUCCCCAAAGGCACAAUAGCACCGAUAUUUGAAGAGUCAGUGAUAGACGAUUUCAUCAGAAGGUUCUGGCAACAGAAACUACCAAACGACUUAUUUUAAAAACAAAACAAAAUGGAAAAUAUUAAAAUCCAAUCAGCUCAUUGAUCACCAGGGAGAAAGAAAAUGAACAUGUGUCUCUUGUACUCAGCCUGCUCUAAAAUAUGAAACUGGAAUGUGUUUCAGAAAGCAACAAAGAUGUGAGUAUGGAAUAUUAAAGCACUAUGAUAAUUUGAUAGUACAAUUUUCCUUUGUGGAUUUCCUGUAGUGACCAAUAUUAAUAUAAUAGGAGUGAACAUCUACUGGGUACUUAUUACAUAUUAGCAUUUUCUAUGGUAUUUUAUUAGGUUACAGAACAACCCAAUGAGGAAAGUACUACUCUUGUCAGCCCUGUUUCAUAGACUAGGAACAGAGGAACCGUGAUUCACCCAAAGUUUUGAGUGAUUCACCCAAAGUUUUGUGGCUAAUAAAACUCCAUUCCAGCCCAGGCGCAGUGGCUCAUGCCUGUAAUCCCAACACUUCGGGAGGCCGAGGCAGGCAGAUCACUUGAGGUCAGGAGUUCAAGACCAGCC
rnacentral:lncRNA from 1 species